rnacentral:miRNA from 1 species
GCAGACACAGUCCAGCUAAUCAGCAGCAGACCCUCCCUCCCAGACCCUCCCUCCCUCCUGGACAGCAUCCAUUUUGAAGCUGCAUUCUUAGUGAGCUGUCCAGGACGUGGGAGGGUCUGGGAGGGAGGGUCUGCUGCUGAUUGGCUGGAAUGUGUCUG